GUAGGUGGCAAGCGUUGUCGGGAAUUAUUGGGCGUAAAGCGCGCGCAGGCGGUUCUUUAAGUCUGAUGUGAAAGCCCACGGCUCAACCGUGGAGGGUCAUUGGAAACUGGAGAACUUGAGUACAGAAGAGGAAAGCGGAAUUCCACGUGUAGCGGUGAAAUGCGUAGAGAUGUGGAGGAACACCAGUGGCGAAGGCGGCUUUCUGGUCUGUAACUGACGCUGAGGCGCGAAAGCGUGGGGAGCAAACAGGAUUAGAUACCCUGGUAGUCCACGCCGUAAACGAUGAGUGCUAAGUGUUAGGGGGGUUUCCGCCCCUUAGUGCUGCAGCUAACGCAUUAAGCACUCCGCCUGGGGAGUACGGCCGCAAAGGCUG
rnacentral:rRNA from 1 species